UGAAUGCGUAGAUAUCGGGAAGAACACCAGUGGCGAAGGCGCUCUGCUGGGCCAUUACUGACGCUCAUGGACGAAAGCCAGGGGAGCGAAAGGGAUUAGAUACCCCUGUAGUCCUGGCCGUAAACGAUGAACACUAGGUGUCGGGGGAAUCGACCCCUUCGGUGUCGUAGCUAACGCGUUAAGUGUUCCGCCUGGGGAGUACGCACGCAAGUGUGAAACUCAAAGGAAUUGACGGGGGCCCGCACAAGCGGUGGAGUAUGUGGUUUAAUUCGAUGCAACGCGAAGAACCUUACCAGGGUUUGACAUCCUGCGAACCUCUUAGAAAUUUGAGGGUGCCUUCGGGAAUGCAGUGACAGGUGGUGCAUGGCUGUCGUCAGCUCGUGUCGUGAGAUGUUGGGUUAAGUCCCGCAACGAGCGCAACCCACGUUUUUAGUUGCCAGCAUUUAGUUGGGCACUCUAGAAAGACCGCCGGUGAUAAACCGGAGGAAGGUGUGGAUGACGUCAAGUCAUCAUGCCCCUUACACCCUGGGCUACACACGUACUACAAUGCUACGGACAAAGGGCAGCAAACUCGCGAGAGCUAGCAAAUCCCAUAAACCGUGGCUCAGUUCAGAUCGUAGGCUGCAACUCGCCUACGUGAAGUAGGAAUCGCUAGUAAUCGCAGGUCAGCAUACUGCGGUGAAUACGUUCCCGGGCCUUGUACACACCGCCCGUCACACCAUGGAAGUUGGCCAUGCCCGAAGUCGUUACUCCAACCCUUGUGGAGGAGGACGCCGAAGGUGGGGCUAAUGACUGGGGUGAAGUCGUAACAAGGUAGCCGUACCGGAAGGUGCGGCUG
rnacentral:rRNA from 1 species